UGGCACACCGGCGAUGACUGUGCCGGAAGUUAGUGCUGGCCGGAAACAGGUUGUGGUCUGUGCACAGU
rnacentral:tRNA from 11 species